UAGGAUUUCCAUGAUUCUUGCCAGUCUUAGAGCUCUUCGUGUAACAAGUAAAUUGUAGUUUCAUAAAAGAUUGAGGGGCUACGUAAGUCCCUGAAUUUUUAUACCUGUUCUCACUUGAUUAGAAAUCUUGUACAUAUUUUCAUACCUUCUCAAACUGAGACUCCUGCAUAGCAUUAAAACACAGCUGUGAUUGCUAUCAGCCCAAUGUGACAAUUCAUUGGCAAUCUUGCUGCUAC